rnacentral:rRNA from 2 species
GGUGAACGCUGGCGGCGUGCCUAACACAUGCAAGUCGAGCGGGUACCCGCAAGGGUACCAGCGGCGCACGGGUGAGUAACACGUGGGUAAUCUACCCCUCGGAGGGGGAUAACUGGGGGAAACCCCGGCUAAUACCCCAUACGAUCCGGCAACGAAGGUUGCUGGAUGAAAGGGGCGUUUGCUCCGCCGAGGGAUGAGCCCGCGGCCCAUCAGGUAGUUGGUGGGGUAAUGGCCCACCAAGCCUACGACGGGUAGCCGGCCUGAGAGGGUGGUCGGCCACAAGGGCACUGAGACACGGGCCCUACUCCUACGGGAGGCAGCAGUGGGGAAUCUUGGACAAUGGGCGAAAGCCUGAUCCAGCGACGCCGCGUGGGGGAUGAAGCCCUUCGGGGUGUAAACCCCUGUUGCGAGGGAGGAAUAAGGCCUGGAGGAAAUGCCAGGCCGAUGACUGUACCUCGCGAGGAAGCCCCGGCUAACUACGUGCCAGCAGCCGCGGUAAUACGUAGGGGGCGAGCGUUACCCGGAUUCACUGGGCGUAAAGCGGGUGUAGGCGGCUCGGUAAGUCGGGUGUGAAAUCCCACAGCUCAACUGUGGAAUUGCGCCCGAAACUGCUGAGCUUGGGGCCGGUAGAGGGAGACGGAACUGCCGGUGUAGGGGUGAAAUCCGUAGAUAUCGGCAGGAACGCCGGUGGGGAAGCCGGUCUCCUGGGCCGCGCCCGACGCUGAGACCCGAAAGCUAGGGGAGCAAACC